AGGCUGCGCAGAUCCCGGGCAGAGCCUUCGUUCAGCAGAUCUAGUAUUUUUUGGCGCCCAUGGGCCAGUAGCUCCGGGCUGAUCUGUAGCUCCCAGCAGUCCUCAGCCUUCUCCUCUGGCUCUGAGGCAUCCAGGGACUCCAGCUAUGAGGCAGGGGGAGGUGAGUGACAGAAACAGAGUUUGCUAUUCAGCCGGUGGCAGCAAACUGCUUUAGGCUCCUCUGCCAAGGAUAGGAGCCUAACAGCAGCUACCUCCCCGCCCUCCCUAGCCUCUCUUUCCCUCAAGUGUCUGUCCAAAAUCCCUUCUCUCGAGUCACUCUCUGGGCUGACUCCCAUUUUAUCCUACUUGUGAAAGAGUGGUAGUAGUUGUUGUGAAGAUCAAAUGAAUUAAUGAAGUUAAAUUUGCCUCAUCUCUAAAAAGGAAUGAAUAAGCUCUCUUGCACUCCCAGGAAGGCACACAGAAGAAUAAAUCACAGCCACGCCCCCACCACAUCGUCUCAGUUUUUAGGAUAUGGAUCUCAGCACUUGGGGACGCCACCUGCUCCUGAACUAAAGGCAACACUUGUGAACCGGAAUCACGGCAGAGGCUACUUUUCACCCGCCCUCACUUGGUUCUAUUUCUGAUUCCCCAGUUCCCCUCCAGCCCAAGUGAACCUCUUCUUUUGUUGUUUCCAUAUGACCUUUCUUACACCUGUAUUUGAAGCCUCCUGUGCCAGAACCUUGGCUUCCAGUUCUUUUUGCUUCAUCUUAAGCCUCUGUUGGAAAGGAUCAGAGAGACACGUGACCCAGAACAAACUUUCGGGCAGCAUGAAGGAGCAGCAGGAUUCCCCUCAUGAUGCCUUCAGUUGCUGUAUUCUGUGGUUCCAGACUCUGGUGUUAACUUGUUGGGCAACCCUGAGCAAGUCAACCAGACUUUCCAGGUGCAGUGCUUCGUCAGGUGAAUGCGGAUCCAUCACUACUUGCCCAGACCUGAAAGACCUGAUCCAGAUUACUCCUUGAGCCAGAAGUUAAAGUGCUCAUCCUUGGGCGCCUGGGCGGCUCAGUUGGUUAAGCGACUGCCUUCGGCUCAGGUCAUGAUCCUGGAGUCCCGGGAUCGAGUCCCACAUCAGGCUCCCUGCUCGGCGGGGAGCCUGCU